GGACUACACGGGUAUCUAAUCCUGUUUGCUCCCCACGCUUUCGCGUUUCAGCGUCAGCAACGAGCCAGAGGGCCGCCUUCGCCGCCGGUGUUCCUCCUGAUAUCUACGCAUUUCACCGCUACACCAGGAAUUCCACCCUCCUCUCUCGCGCUCUAGCUGGCUAGUUUCCAGUGCACUUCCGGGGUUAAGCCCCGGGCUUUCACACCAGACUUGACCAACCGCCUACACGCCCUUUACGCCCAGUCAAUCCGAACAACGCUCGCACCCUCCGUCUUACCGCGGCUGCUGGCAC
rnacentral:rRNA from 1 species